GAUGAACGCUGGCUACAGGCUUAACACAUGCAAGUCGAGGGGAAACGACGGGGAAGCUUGCUUCCCCGGGCGUCGACCGGCGCACGGGUGAGUAACGCGUAUCCAACCUGCCUCUGACUGAGGGAUAACCCGUCGAAAGUCGGCCUAAUACCUCAUGGCAUCGUCUGCGGGCAUCCAACGACGAUUAAAGAUUUCAUCGGUCAGGGAUGGGGAUGCGUCUGAUUAGCCUGUUGGCGGGGUAACGGCCCACCAAGGCUACGAUCAGUAGGGGUUCUGAGAGGAAGGUCCCCCACAUUGGAACUGAGACACGGUCCAAACUCCUACGGGAGGCAGCAGUGAGGAAUAUUGGUCAAUGGGCGGGAGCCUGAACCAGCCAAGUAGCGUGCAGGAUGACGGCCCUAUGGGUUGUAAACUGCUUUUAUGCGGGGAUAAAGUGAGGGACGUGUCCUUCAUUGCAGGUACCGCAUGAAUAAGGACCGGCUAAUUCCGUG
rnacentral:rRNA from 1 species